AACUUUUACACGGACGAGUACAUGUGAUGGGCUAUAAUAUUUAUCAUACGGUAACUAGAGAAAGGUUCCGAUUUAAGUAUUCCUUAGGUAAGUGAAGACUUAAGUAAGUUUAUGCAUACCAUUUAAGAAUUUGACUUAACUAAGGAAAUUCUUAGUGAAAUCUAAGUUUAAGGAAUACUUAAGUUAAGAUGUUUUAUGCAUACGGCCCCA
rnacentral:lncRNA from 1 species